GAUGAACGCUGGCGGCGUGCUUAACACAUGCAAGUCGAACGGAAAGGCUCCAGCUUGCUGGAGUACUCGAGUGGCGAACGGGUGAGUAACACGUGGGUGAUCUGCCCUGCACUUCGGGAUAAGCCUGGGAAACUGGGUCUAAUACCGGAUAGGACCGCACUUUGGUGUGUGUGGUGGAAAGGUUUUUCUGGUGUGGGAUGAGCUCGCGGCCUAUCAGUUUGUUGGUGGGGUAAUGGCCUACCAAGACGGCGACGGGUAGCCGGCCUGAGAGGGUGGACGGUCACAUUGGGACUGAGAUACGGCCCAGACUCCUACGGGAGGCAGCAGUGGGGAAUAUUGCACAAUGGGGGAAACCCUGAUGCAGCGACGCCGCGUGGGGGAUGAAGGACUUCGGGUUGUAAACUCCUUUCGCUAGGGACGAAGCUUUUUGUGACGGUACCUGGAGAAGAAGCACCGGCUAACUACGUG
rnacentral:rRNA from 1 species